CCCUUAGACGUUCUGGGCCGCACGCGCGCUACACUGACCAGUGCAACAAGCAUCCGUCCUUGGCCGACAGGCUCGGGCAAUCUUUGAACGCUGGUCGUGAUGGGGAUAGACUUUUGCAAUUUUUGGUCUUCAACGAGGAAUUCCUAGUAAACGCAAGUCAUCAACUUGCAUUGAUUACGUCCCUGCCCUUUGUACACACCGCCCGUCGCACCUACCGAUUGAAUGGUCCGGUGACGCCUCCGGAUUGGCGCGCACCUCGGUGCCGCCGAGAAGUUGGCUAAACCUUACCAUUUAGAGGAAGGUGAAGUCGUAACA
rnacentral:rRNA from 1 species